AGAUUGAACGCUGGCGGCAUGCCUAACACAUGCAGGUCGAACGGGAGCAGCAAUACUCUAGUGGCGGACGGGUGAGGAAUACGUAGGAAUUUGCCCUUAAGUGGGGGAUAACCCGGGGAAACCCGGAUUAAUACCGCAUGACCUCGAAAGAGCAAAGUGGGGGAUCGCAAGACCUCACGCUUUUGGAGAAGCCUACGUCGGAUUAGCUAGUUGGUGAGGUAAUGGCCCACCAAGGCGACGAUCCGUAACUGGUCUGAGAGGAUGAUCAGUCACACCGGAACUGAGACACGGUCCGGACUCCUACGGGAGGCAGCAGUGGGGAAUAUUGGACAAUGGGCGCAAGCCUGAUCCAGCAAUGCCGCGUGUGUGAAGA
rnacentral:rRNA from 1 species